rnacentral:rRNA from 1 species
CGAGUACAGCGGCGGACGGGUGAGUAACGCAUGGUCGACCUGCCCACGAGAUCGGGAUAGCCAUNCGAAAGGAUGGGUAAUACCGGAUAAGACCACGGCGCUUCAUGGCGCUGCGGUAAAAAGGUUGGGAUCUUCGGACCUUCCGCUCGUGGAUGGGACCAUGUCCUAUUAGCUUGUUGGUGAGGUAACGGCUCACCAAGGCGACGAUGGGUAGCCGGCCUGAGAGGGUGGACGGCCACACUGGGACUGAGACACGGCCCAGACUCCUACGGGAGGCAGCAGUGCUGAAUCAUUCGCCAAUGCGCGAAAGCGUGACGGUGCGACGCCGCGUGCGGGAUGAAGGCCUUCGGGUUGUAAACCGCUGUCAGGGCUUAGGAAACCGUAAGGGUUAAUAGCUCUUGCGCUGACCAGGCCCAAAGGAAGCACAGGCUAACUUCGUGCCAGCAGCCGCGGUAAUACGAAGUGUGCGAGCGUUGUUCGGAAUUACUGGGCGUAAAGGGUGCGCAGGCG